AUUGAACGCUGGCGGCAUGCCUUACACAUGCAAGUCGAACGGUAACAGGUCUUCGGAUGCUGACGAGUGGCGAACGGGUGAGUAAUACAUCGGAACGUGCCUAGUAGUGGGGGAUAACUACUCGAAAGAGUGGCUAAUACCGCAUGAGAUCUACGGAUGAAAGCAGGGGAUCGCAAGACCUUGUGCUACUAGAGCGGCCGAUGGCAGAUUAGGUAGUUGGUGGGAUAAAAGCUUACCAAGCCGACGAUCUGUAGCUGGUCUGAGAGGACGAUCAGCCACACUGGGACUGAGACACGGCCCAGACCCCUACGGGAGGCAGCAGUGGGGAAUUUUGGACAAUGGGCGCAAGCCUGAUCCAGCAAUGCCGCGUGCAGGAUGAAGGCCUUCGGGUUGUAAACUGCUUUUGUACGGAACGAAAAGCCCCGGGUUAAUACCCUGGGGCCAUGACGGUACCGUAAGAAUAAGCACCGGCUAACUACGUGCCAGCCGCCGCCGUAA
rnacentral:rRNA from 1 species